UCCUGACUCUUCGAUUGGAUCGAGAGAGCUCUCUUCCCCACACGGCCUCCUGGUCUCCACCAUGAGUGGCCGCCUAAUUUGCCUCGGUCGAACUGCCCAGCGAAGUCCUCCUGCUCUCCUCCUCUCGCCGGCGCCGCUAAAGUGAACCAGCCCGCGACCGGAGCUCCAGAGUUUCCAGCCCUCUAUCCCCUCCCAUCUCUCCCUUCCCUUCUCCAUCGCCGACACUCGCCACCCAUGGACGCCUCAACGCCUCUCUAUCCUCAUACGUGACCACCACUUCAGAGGGGGGCAUAGCCGAGGGGUGAUCUGCACUCCUCUCCAAUGACUCCGCCACAGCCAAAUCCGGUUUUAUGAACAGCGGCGCAUCGACCAUCCCGUCGGGUGUGUGGCUAGAGGGCAUCCAACUGGUGUCCUUGAGGUGCAGCGCGGGUAGAAGGUGGGGAUUGUGGGCGUCAACGGCGCCGGCAAAACCACACAUCUCCACACCAUCGCCGGCAUCGAGGAGCUCGACGGCCGCAACGUCGUAAAGGCCAACGAUAGCCUGAAGUUUGCCUUCCUCAGCCAUAAAUUCGAGGUCUGCGCCGCCCGGACAGUAGGGUGGAGUUUCUCAGCUCCUUCCAGGAGGAGAUGCCCGUGAAGGACUGCCUCAACCUGCUCCAGGGCCCUCUAGCGCGCCACCGAGGAUAUGGGCCUCAUGGGGUCAUGGGAUUUGCAGCUCACCAUCAUCGACAAGAGAGACUAGCUCAGACUAUUGGUGCUCUGUGUUGUUGAAUUCUAUGCAAGGUGACCACCCAAUUGUCUGGCAGUAGUGAAUGCUUCAUAAGUGUGAGCAUAAGCCCUCCUUAUGUAGCAACCAGUGAAAAGAUUGUAUUCACCAGGUUGUUCAUGGAAGAAACAAAAUGAAGCUCUACUUAAUUUAGUGAUUUGGUUUUGGUUCUUCGGGAUUAGUGUACUUUAAAUUUCAGAUUUCCUAAUUCAACAGGCUUAGCUAUGAAAACCCAGCAAUACUAUCCCGUUUCAGGUUUGCAGUUUGUCAAUACACAUUCUUUCUUUUAUUUAGCGUUUAUUAUUCAAUCCAUAACUACAGUUCUGAUUUUCCCAGUAAAAGUGUUUCAACAUCUCCACUCCCGUGGCUAAAUUGGUCAAAGAUUUUCAAUACUAGGUGAGUGCAGAUAGUACAGCGGUAACUAACAGUACCAUGGGCAGAGAGUUUUGUUGCUAAGGUACACAUGUUGAUUUCAGCUGCAUGCCACAUGAGUCCUUAAACGUCUAGAGGAGAUUGUUGAGUGAUUUUCUCUGCCAAUAAUGUUCAUUUAUAAUGUUUGGACAACAUGGUAUUUUAUAUCGCUUCUAUGAAAUACUCCACCCACAUUGUGCCAUUGUUCUAUUUGUCACACUCAUCACCCAUGGUGUUCUAUUUUUAGUUUCAUGCCAAGGUGAUGAGGACGCACUAUACCAUAUUCUCGGAAUCAUGGAUAAGAAAGGUCAGUGAGAAAAAAUGCCAUGUAAAAAACAUAUGUGAUGGAUAUAUAAAACGAGAAGAGGCAUUAUAUUUGAAAUAGCGUGGGCUGUGUCAUCGUCAGUAAACCUGAGGUGUUGCACUGAGCUACAAAGCAUGUUGUUUCACUGGCGAGUUUCCAAAUUUUCACAUGGUGGAUUCUAGAUUACUCUGCGGUAUGCGUUUACGGAUUCCCUAGCUUUUUCCUCCAUAAACAUUAGGUGAGUAUAUAUAUUUAAGUAUGUGGUUAGAUAACUUUGUAUGACUAUUGUGUGCCUCUCUUGACUUACUGGGAGAGCAAGCUGCUACAUUUAAUGGCUGGAGCAAUUUUUGUUGGCGCAUUGUUUCAGACAUACACUCUUCCAUUUUUCUGAGUUACGCGUUGGCUAGAUAUCACUAGAGUAACUUUAUGUUCAGCUGCAUGCUUAACAUUUCUGUAGUAUUUUCAUUCUUCUAAGUCGUGUUGACUAGGUUUCUAACUAAUUGGUGUCGGUAAUAAUGCUUUCGGACAUCCCUUAGUACUAGACUCGAAAAUUUAGUUUUCGUUAUGUACCUCUCUUCUUAUAAUUAUUGCAGAUUUUUUUAGUCCAAGAAGCAUUGAAAUCUUACUUCUAUCCUAGGGGAACAGAAUAGAAGGAUGCGCGCCAGCUAAUUGUAUAGUCCAAUUCAAGCCACCGCUAAAAGAAGGGGAACAGAAUGGAAGGAUGUGUGCCAGCUAAUUGUAUAGACCAAUUCAAGCCACAGCUAAAAAGAGGUUCAGUUUACACCUUAGAAACGUUCAUCUUUGCUGAUGCGUGGAAAAAUGCUGAGGAAGACAGAGGAGAAGCAUUAGCGAGAUUAACUGGUGUCGUUUUUCGUUGUUCUUUCUUUCAGAUUUAGCUUUCUACUAGAAGCACCAUUCUUCCGUUGGAGUUCCUCACAUCACUAGGCUUAUGGUAGCUGAUACUGAAGUUCACAUACCGCUGGUCAUCCUCACUGAGCUCACUUAAGUUCAUAUAUCUUAGAGUUUGGUAUUUGCUGAAACAUAUACAGUGCUUGGUGAGGUAUAGGUGUGUUAAUUUGCAUGUGCGAUUUUCUUUUUUUCCUCUUGCACACUCAUGUGUACCAAGCCAUAAAAUUUGAAAUGGUUGGUGCUGAUGUGCAAGCACUAUCCGCGGUUUUCGCUGAAGUAUGUUGUAACUAUGCGUUUUGUAUUUGUAAAUGCUGUCGAAGUGUUUGAAAUUCAGUAUUCCAGUUAGCCACGGCAGUUUCUGUCAGUUAAGUAGUAUU